ACGUAAACAAAGUCGCAAAUCGACUGAACAAGAUCAACAUGUUGGUCUUAUUUUGUGAUAGGUUUUUCCAGUCGGAAACUCUACUGACUUACAAUUUCAGUCCCAUUGAUACGUGUGAACCCGCCUUUACUCAUGCAAGUUAACCACGGUGUCUUCACGCUUUCAUGCUUUUCAACUGGAGGGUGUGGCACCAUGGUGUGUGGUGGCUGGUGUGGCAGCUGGGAUGGGGAGCAGCACAAUCUGCAGGAAAGGGAAGCCUCUCCUCGGGGUGCAUCAUCCUGCAAAACUAGCCAGAACACUCCUUUGUCCUCAUGGGAUCAAGAUGUCCCCGCACCAGAGCUGCCGUAUCUGGUGGCAGCCUUGCUGGUGGGUCUUUGUGCGGGAGUGUGCUUUGUGAACUCCCUUUUUGGGGAUUUUGUCUUUGAUGACUCUGAGGCAAUAGUCAACAACAAUGACAUUCGUGGAGAAACGCCGCUGUGCAACCUUUUCCACAAUGACUUCUGGGGUACCCGCCUUACCCAUCCCUCCAGCCACAAGUCCUACCGUCCCCUUACUGUUCUCUCCUUCAGAAUCAACUACUCCUGGGGUGCCCUGGAUCCUUUUAGUUAUCAUGCUGUCAAUAUUGUGCUGCACUGCCUUGUCAGCAUCAUGAGUCUGCGUGUCUUCUAUGUGGUGUUUGGCAGCCAAGCACCGAGGGCUGCUGUGCUAGCAGCCAUUCUGUUUGCCACACACCCAAUCCACACAGAGGCAGUUUCAGGAAUUGUGGGAAGAGCAGACCUGUUGUGUGCCCUGUUUGUGUUUGUUGCCUUCCUGAGUUAUGUGAGGGCUGUUAAACAGGCAUCCGAAGAGGCUGCCAACAGAAAGCAGUCUUGUUGCUGGGCUAAAAGGUGUGGCCAAAGCAAUGUGUACCUGGUGCUGACAGCUGCUGCCACUGCCAUUGCCAUGCUCUGUAAGGAAGUUGGCAUCACUGCACUGGGUGUGUGCAGUGCAUAUGACAUCAUCCUAGCGCAUGGGGGAGUGAUAGGACGCACUGUCAUCCUCCUGGUUCUUGGCCAUAGCACCAGAGCAGUCUCAUCAUGGAGGAGCAUUCCAGAUGGUGUAGUACGUCGUAUGGUGUGGCGCCAUGUGGUGCUGAUGGUGACGGGUGUGGGCCUGCUGGUUGCACGCUGGAUAGUCAUGGGCUCCACUGUGCCCAGAUUCAUGAAGGUGGACAACCCUGCCUCCUUCCUGGAUAGUGUGGUGUUCAGGAGCUUGAAUUAUCAGUACACCUACAGUAUGAAUGCUCUGCUGCUGAUCCUCCCAAUCUGGCUGUGCUUUGACUGGUCAAUGGGCUGUGUGCCAGUCAUUGUAAACUUCAGUGAUCCAAGACUGCUGACUCUUCCAGUUCUCUGGGUUUCAUUUAUAAUGUUGCUGAGGCGAGGAAUGGCUCAGGGCAGAGGAAGUCAGACAUCUAGAUUUGUGUUGAUGGGAUUGGCCAUGGGCAUCGUACCAUUUCUGCCUGCCACAAACCUGUUCUUCCGGGUGGGAUUUGUCAUAGCAGAGCGUGUGCUGUAUCUGCCAGUGGUCGGCAUAUGCAUCCUGGUGGUGACUGGCAUGAGAGAGCUGUGUCUGGCAGGCCACCUUGGCAGGAGAGUUAUCCAAGCUGGCUACUUGGUGCUGGUGGUGGUGUUCAUCCUCCGCUGCCAACAGAGAAGUCGUGAGUGGUUGACUGAGAAGCAGCUAUUCAACUCUGGCCUUGAUGUGUGUCCCCUCAAUGCCAAGGUUCACUACAACAUUGGGAAGGUGGCUGCUGAUGCUGGGGAUGUAAUGGAGGCAGUGAGACGAUACAGAGAAGCACUAAGGCUCAACCCAGACUAUGACCAGGCCAUGAACAACUUGGCUAACAUCCUUAAGGACCAGGGUCACCUGGAUGAAGCUCUUCAUCUGCUGCAGCAAGCUACCACACUUCGGCCAGACUUUGCAGCUGCUUGGAUGAACCUGGGCAUUGUCCAGGCCUCACUAGGAGACCACGGCUCUGCAGAGAACAGCUACCUCACCGCUCUCUCCCACAGAUCAGUAUACCCUGACUGUUUGUACAAUCUGGGGAACCUGUACCUGGAGAAAGGGGACCACCAGGCAGCACUGGCAACCUGGACGAAUGCCACCACCCUCAAGCCUUCCCUAGCAGUGGCCUGGACUAACAUGCUCAUCCUUCUUGAUUCCCAAGGACUCUACCAGCCAGCUAUUGACAUUGCAGACCAAGCACUGAAACAUCUACCAAAUGAACCAGCACUGCACUUCAAUCUGGCCAACACUCUUGGCAAGCUGAAUCGCUACCAGGAGUCAGAGUCACACUUUCUGCUAGCGACCACCCUGGAUCCUAGUAAUGCCAACUAUUGGGCUAAUUUAGGAGUGCUUUACCAUCGCUGGCGCAAGUAUGAGCAAGCGCAGCAGUCCUAUGUGCAUGCCCUGCGCCUCAACCCUACCUUGCGAAGUGCCCAGGACAACCUGAGUAUGCUGCUCAAAGCUACUGGUAAGAUAACCAGAUAGCAGGACGCAGCAGUGGUGGCAGCUGCAGAAGGGAAGUGGUGAGGGACUGUUCUUUCUCUCCCUCUUCUGUUUCUUAAUUUCUUAUUUAUCUCUACAAUGCUUUAAGUGGGUUUUUUUCUUGUUUAAAUUGAAACAAAUCUGAAAAAAUGUCCACACAUUUCUUUUGUUUUUGAUCAUUUGCUUUGUUUUUUCUGUUAAGUAAGGAUUUUUUUUAGCAGAAAUGAAUUUUCUCUGAUAUAUAUUUCUUCUUAAUCUUAUAAUACUGAGCUACACAUUUCUUUUUACAUGAAUAUCAGUCACACCUCAGUAUUUAUUUUGUUGAAUGGUUUUCUGGAGAUAUUUUAGUAAUUGAGGAAGAAUGAAAGGCUGGAGGCUUUCACUCUUGCUGAGCAUCUUUGUAGCAUGUCAUGUGGUUAGGAGUGGACAGUUUGAGUAAGGACAGUGGUGUUCAGCUUAACAUUAAAAUAAUACAGAAGCAGACAUAAAGACACCCAAGCUUGUAGCAAUUACCAACGAAUAAAGAGAAAAUUUUGGCUUCCUUCUGUUAGGUACUUUAUUAGUAUUCUUAAGAGAAUAAAGAAUUGCACAGGAGAGUUUUGUGAUUGGUAUAAAGAUUUUUUUUUUUCUGCAUGUGAUAUACUCUUGAUUUUUCUAACAAUUAUUAAUGCAUUGGCAGCUUUGUAUUCUGUAUUAGUUUAUCUUUUUUCCCCCUUUUGGAAAAUGAAAAAUUUACCAGGCUACCAGUUUCCAUGGUUAUUACUGGUGAAGUGAGAUAUCACAGCUUCCACUGUAAUUGCAAAGCAAAAGCAGCUCAUGGUCCAAGUUGCUUUAUGGUGUGGGGAAAGGAAGGGCAUAUAGAACAGUGCUCUUAAUGGUGGUGAUGCAUCUCUGUCCUGCCCAAGGGAGACCUUGUAGCAAGAUACAAUAUAAUGUAGUACCUGUGUGCCAAGUCACCAGUGAGAAUGAGUGGCCAUAUUCUAGUGUUACUUUUUUGUUAUUGUUUUCAGUUGUUAAUGCACCAAAGCACAGCUAUAUUUGUGCUGUGGCUCACUGCUAUGAUUCUCAUUUGAGUGUCUAUUUAGUGAUAAUUCUGUUACUGGUUUUUAUUGAGGAUAUCAAGGGAACAAAUUUUUGGUGUGAAGCUUUUGUAAGAAGUAACAUGUAAAACAUAGUACUAUAUAUAAGAGCAUAGAACUUUGAAGAAAAAUGUUCUUCCUAUGAUUGAUAAUGUAGCAGAUUAUUUCCAUGAAUUAAAAACAUUGUGGAAUUUUGAAAUUAUAAAUUAAAGGCGGAAGACAAAAUUGGCAUAUUGAGUGUUGCUGUAUAGGAAUGAUGAGGCUUUUGUAUGGAAGAUGAAAACAAAUCAAGUGAAAGCAAUGUAAAUGACCUAAAUGUGCGGGAGUGAGAAAUGGGUCUAUAAUGAACAAGAAAAUGUGAAAAAAAAUUAAAAUGAUGUAAAAGAGAUUGAAGAGAAAGACAGAGGAAGCAAAGAUAGGGUGUUACUUGGGAUGUUUACUGUAUGGAAAAGGUGGGCUGAGUAUUUUGAGAGAGUUUUGAAUGUAGAGGAAGAUAGAGAGCCUAAGAAUGCCAUAGUGGGAAGUGAGUGAGGAAUUGUUGUGUAAUGAGAGUUCACAAGGGAAGGAGUGAGGAAACAGGUAAGGCUUAGAACUUUAUUGGUAUGCAGUAGAGUGCUUGUAAAAUAUAUAUGAUUGUUUGUGGUUGGUAAGACUGCUAAAUGUGUCAUGAGCAGUAUGAGGCAAAUUGAUUGGGCAUAUGUAUGUGCAUUGAGUGUAUAUUGUUUCCAUGUAUGAGGAUCACAAAAAUAGGUAUGAUUGUAGUAAUGGUAUGGAUAAAAGUCUGUCAAGUAUUGUAGGUAAAGUGUAUGGUAAUUGUGAUUAAGAGGAUUAAAGAAGAUAAGUGUAUAUGAUGAGCAGUGUGGGUUUAGAAGAGAGGCAAGGUGUGAAUUGACAAGGUGUUUGCUGUUAGCUGUCUGAAAAGAUGAAAGAUUUAUUUUCUAUGUUUGUGAAUUGAGAGUAAGCAUAUUGAAUUGCUUGGAUAGAGGUGUUGACUUGUUUUUUAGAGGAACUAUAUGAAAGUUGGUGCUUUAUAUAACUUUAUAUAACUUCCUAUGCUCUCAUUCUCCACAGAGAAAAAUGAUCAGAAAUCUGUUUUGCUUGGUUGUCACAUUACAGGAAGGAGUAUGAUCUGUAAAUCUUGUGUGUCGUAUCACUGUAAGUUCUCAGAUAAACUUCAUGCUAAGUCCCCACAGCAUGUAAUGUGAUAGAUGAAGCUGUGGUAAGCAAAAUUUAUGCAGAUAAUUCAUGAAAAAAUGGCAUAUUAUAUCCAAAUUGGAUAUAAUGGAUAUGCAUUUAUAUUUUUUGAAUUGCAUAAUUAAUUCCUCACUCAUUGUACUUAAAACCAAGACAACUGAAUCCUCAUUUUUUACUCUCACUUAAAGAAUUCUCAUGGGGCAGGAAGCUUGUUCUUUGUGUAUCACCCUCACUAGAGAGUGGUGAUGGUGAAGGGAGAAGCAGUGUAUCUUGUUGGCUCAAAACUUGCUGGACACAUGACUGAUGAGAUUCUGUUGUAGUAGAAUAUUCAGUUUCAAGCAGUUUUUUUUCUUUUCUUUUAAUACUGACAGUUUAAUUUUAAGUUUGGUGUUUUAAAAUGAUUGAUUACCUAUACAGUAUAUACCCGCCAUUAGUUUGUUAAAUGUUAUGUAGGUAGGUGCCAACUUUUAGGUUAAACUAACACCUAUUUAUGUGAGAGUGGGUGCCAAUUCUUAGGUAAGUGAGUACCAAGUAUUGUAGGUGUGGGUAGGUGAGGUGGUGGAGGGGUAGCUGGUAUUGUUGUUACCUCUCUCUCCACAUGGGUGCUGAUACCACUGCCAAUAGUCUACCACAACCACAGCUGAAUAUGGCAAAAAAAAAAAAAAAAAAAAAAAAAAAAAAAAAAAAAAAAAAAAAAAAGAAGAGACAAAAACCAUUAGAAAUAAUUAAUGAUAUAAUUAAAAGAUCAUUGUUGGAAUUCACAUUAAAGUGCAGUUAAUUAUAUUUUGAUUGUUGUAGACAGCAAUGAUCCUGCUCUACUUAAACUCCAGUCCAAAGUGUGUUGAGUAAUUGGUACCUUUGUGUUAUCAUCAUGCCACGUAACAUUCUCAGCAUCAGUAAACUAAGUGUUGUUGUAUUGUGAAGAUUGCAUUUCAUACAUAUAUACAGACAUGCCCUCAUUAAUAUGAUUGUGGUAUGUAUUCUGGUGAUCCUUUUGCUACUGAAAUGAAUAAUGAUUACAAUUUUUUUUCAAAUUUUAAUUUAAAUAUUUUCUAGGAGGCAAUUGUUGCAUAUAACAUUUUCAAAAGGACACUUUUAUUUGCUAGCAAUGGGUUAUUGUGUCACUACUUAUUUUGUUUGAUCCUUUAUGUUUUUAGUGUUAUUGAUGUGGCAGGAAUUUUGAUGUUAAGUUUGACUUUUUGAUGUGGCCUAAGAUCGGUAUGCUUUGACUUAAGGGUCUCUGUACCAACCUUCUGGCUGGUAUGGUGCUGAGUGUGGGUGUGCUUGUCACCCCAUCAAACUAGCAGUAGCCUCCAUAGAGUUUCAGGAGCAAGUUGAGUACACCAAAGAGAUGCACUCAACACUAUAAGUCAGAGGGGUGUUUAUGAUGUCAGCAAAGAAAAGAGGAAUUGCAUUUUAAAUGGUUAAUUCUUGUUUUCAGUGAAAAGUCAGUGUAGAAUGUGUUGUUGUGGUGAAGCAUUAAUUGGUGGUGGUAGUGAUGCAUCAGAACACAGGCAAACUAUGAUGCUUCUUUUGUUAGUCAUUAUGAUUAUGCUUGGAACAUAUCCAUGCAGAAUCACCAUCAGGUACAUAAUAUUGCUCUAGUCUUAGUUUCCAUGUGGGUAUUUUUCAUCUCUUGUUCUGUUUCCCUCCUCAUACACAAGCAUAUGCAGGCUACAUUUAUGUGUAGUACUUGUGUACAUUUUAAAAUUGUGCUUAAUGAAUGUUUAUAUAUAUAUAUAUUUUUUUUUUGUGAGAAGAAUGUGUUGCAAUUACUGUUUGAUGACAUGCAUUGGGAAAAUACCAUGUGCUUGUGAACUGUUCCACCUCAUAACCCUGUGCCACUGUAUAGGGGAGGUUUGUGCACUCUUAAAGGCUUAAAAGGGUAGCAGUGGAUCAUCCUGCUUGACUGCACUUAUUAAAGUUAUGCACCUUAAUGUGUUUAUAGAUGAAGAGUAGUAUUUAUGGGGAUAUGAGGCAAUCAUAGCAUAAGUGUGUUUAGAGUUUGAAUGUGAAGCAGACAGAUGAUGUGUAACUAGCAUAUUGUAUAUGUAACACUGCUCGUGUGCUUAGUAGGGCUUCUUUUUAUCUUGAAUUCAAACUGAUUUAGACCUGCAUAAAAAAUUACUAUAUGUUUAUGUGCUUUUUCUAAGAAUGACAUGUUCAGUUUUCUCUCCUGUGGACACACUGAGUUGGGUGAGGAGCCAAUGUGGAAUAUGUUAUUGUGUAAUGUUAUGCGUAAAUUGUACAAAAUAGUCUUUAACACUUGUAUGCUUGUCCAUUCAUCAGGUAUACUUGCUCUGAAGAUUGGAAGCAGUUGGCUUGGCUUGGGCCAGAGCAUCUUAUGUUAGCUUGCAGUCUGAUCUUCCUCUUGCUUGCAACUGUAGCUACAGGAGGUGGCUGGUCUGCUCUUGAGUAUGUAAAGAAAUUAUGUAACUUGCCAGAAAAAAAGUAGAGGUCAUGCACCCAAUAGCAUGUAAUGUUGAAGUGUUCAUGAAAUCUGGUUGAGCUGGGGAGUGAAGGACAUACUGGUGAGUGUACUUGGCAUUGUCACACCCCUCACUUGUGUGUACGUACUUAAGAAGAAUCACUAUAGCAGCUUUCCCUCCAGCUGUACAUUUAUGUCAAAGAAAUAUGGGAUUACUGGUAACUUGCUUUUGUUACUUUAUUGUGUCAAAGAAAGUUUCUUAAUUGAAAAAAUUCUUUUCUAUUUUAAAGAUUGGAGAUAAUUAUCACUGUGGCUGGUUGGCCGAAUGCACCUAUAAAUUUUUUUCUAGGGAGAUUUUACUCUUUGGUCAGUACUUUGGUUGGCUCAGAGAAUGAAGUAGUAUUGAUUUAUCUCAUGGCAAUGUGCAAUAGACAGAAAGGUCAGUGACCAGAUCCUGACUGGUUACUUUAUAGUGGCACCUUUGUUUUAAGUUUCAAGAAAAGAUGGAUUUAUCCAUAAAACAGCCACAUGCUAAAAACCUCUUCAUAAAAUGCCAUAUGUUAGAUAUGAUUUACCGUUGUUUUAUGUUUUAGAUAACAUUUAUAACUUGCAAAUGAGAGGUGUGCUCAUAGAGGAGUAUAUGUAAUUUAUUUAGGCUACCUUGGCGCCCAGUGGACGGGUGUUGGCACACUGCCUGGCGUCAUGUUUUCUUGUUUUGUUAUGUUUUGUAAAAAAAAAAAUUAAAGUUAAAACAAGUAAAA
rnacentral:misc_RNA from 1 species